rnacentral:rRNA from 1 species
AGAACGAACGCUGGCGGCAGGCUUAACACAUGCAAGUCGAACGCCCCGCGAGGGGAGUGGCAGACGGGUGAGUAACGCGUGGGAAUCUACCCAGAACUUCGGAACAACUGAGGGAAACUUCAGCUAAUACCGGAUACGCCCUACGGGGGAAAGAUUUAUCGGUUCUGGAUGAGCCCGCGUUGGAUUAGCUAGUUGGUGGGGUAAUGGCCUACCAAGGCGACGAUCCAUAGCUGGUCUGAGAGGAUGAUCAGCCACACUGGGACUGAGACACGGCCCAGACUCCUACGGGAGGCAGCAGUGGGGAAUAUUGGACAAUGGGCGAAAGCCUGAUCCAGCCAUGCCGCGUGAGUGAUGAAGGCCUUAGGGUUGUAAAGCUCUUUCAGUAGGGAAGAUAAUGACGGUACCUACAGAAGAAGCCCCGGCUAACUUCGCGCCAGCAGCCGC